rnacentral:rRNA from 1 species
UGGACGUUACUCGCAGAAUAAGCACCGGCUAACUCUGUGCCAGCAGCCGCGGUAAUACAGAGGGUGCAAGCGUUAAUCGGAUUUACUGGGCGUAAAGCGCGCGUAGGUGGCCAAUUAAGUCAAAUGUGAAAUCCCCGAGCUUAACUUGGGAAUUGCAUNGCGAUACUGGUUGGCUAGAGUAUGGGAGAGGAUGGUAGAAUUCCAGGUGUAGCGGUGAAAUGCGUAGAGAUCUGGAGGAAUACCGAUGGCGAAGGCAGCCAUCUGGCCUAAUACUGACACUGAGGUGCGANAGCAUGGGGAGCAAACAGGAUUAGAUACCCUGGUAGUCCAUGCCGUAAACGAUGUCUACUAGCCGUUGGGGCCUUUGAGGCUUUAGUGGCGCAGCUAACGCGAUAAGUAGACCGCCUGGGGAGUA